UAAAGUGAUCAUAGUUACCGUAAUGGACCAUGGAGGCAAAACAGUAAUCAGAAUAAUCUUACUUGCAGAGAACUUUGACAUUAAUGGUUUGAUCAUGGAAUUCCUAGAAAUUAAAUAGAUGAGAAGCCUACUAUAUCAUUCAUGUGACUGUUCUGUGUGGCUUGAGCUCACAUUAUGGGCACACGGAUUCUAAGAGGAAAAGUUGGAAAUCAAAUUCUAGAAUGUGACUUCUUCCACGUUCUAUUAGCCAAAGCAGUCAUGGACUGAGUCAGUAUUCAAGAGAAGAAAUAAUCUUCAGUCCUGGACAAGGCUGUUCAUACAGGGAAGGAAGAAAUUUAUUGCAAAAAAUCAACUAUCACAGUCAACUCUCUGGCCACGACAAUGCACAUCUCUCUUAUCUCGUAUAGAGGGCUCUCUUUGGAAAAACGGCAAUCCCAUCCCAAUACCUGGAAGUGAAGCAUGCUGGCAAACACAAUGGUCUUUCAGAACUCAUGAUAAUGGAGAGAAGGGAUGAUAAAUUCCAUGUUGAGCUCAGAUAACCCCUUUGGCUGCAUUAAAAGAAUCUCUUUCCUCAAGAUUUUAUUUUACAC
rnacentral:lncRNA from 12 species